rnacentral:siRNA from 1 species
AGCGUUGCGGGUUUUCAAAACACU